rnacentral:tRNA from 1 species
GCGGCCGUAGUCUAGUCUGGAUCAGGACGACGGCCCCCCAUCCAUUUGCGGGGGAUCGCCGUAGAUCGUGGGUUCAAAUCCCACCGGCCGCA